rnacentral:rRNA from 1 species
GACGAACGCUGGCGGCGUGCUUAACACAUGCAAGUCAAGCGGUAAGGCCCUUUCGGGGGUACACGAGCGGCGAACGGGUGAGUAACACGUGGGUGACCUGCCCUCAGCUCUGGGAUAAGCCCGGGAAACUGGGUCUAAUACCGGAUAUGACUCCAUGACGCAUGUUGUGGGGUGGAAAGCCUUGUGCGGCUGAGGAUGGGCCCGCGGCCUAUCAGCUUGUUGGUGGGGUGAUGGCCUACCAAGGCGACGAUGGGUAGCUGGUCUGAGAGGACGAUCAGCCACACUGGGACUGAGACACGGCCCAGACUCCUACGGGAGGCAGCAGUGGGGAAUCUUGCGCAAUGCGCGAAAGCGUGACGCAGCAACGCCGCGUGGGGGAAGACGGCCU